rnacentral:rRNA from 1 species
UAGGGAAUCUUCCACAAUGGACGCAAGUCUGAUGGAGCAACGCCGCGUGAGUGAAGAAGGCUUUCGGGUCGUAAAACUCUGUUAUUGAAGAAGAACGUGUGUGACAGUAACUGGUCAUGCAGUGACGGUAUUCAAUCAGAAAGUCACGGCUAACUACGUGCCAGCAGCCGCGGUAAUACGUAGGUGGCAAGCGUUGUCCGGAUUUAUUGGGCNUAAAGCGAGU